UUGGAGGGCAAGUCUGGUGCCAGCAGCCGCGGUAAUUCCAGCUCCAAUAGCGUAUAUUAAAGUUGUUGCAGUUAAAAAGCUCGUAGUUGAAUUUCGGGAUCAGUUCGUUGGUCGUGCCUUAGGUACGUACUGGUGUUACUGGUUUCUACCUUCUGACGAACCAUCAUGUCAUUAAUUUGGUGUGGUGGGGAAUCAGGACUGUUACUUUGAAAAAAUUAGAGUGUUUAAAGCAGGCUCGCGCUUGAAUACAUUAGCAUGGAAUAAUGAAAUAGGACGUUGAUCCUAUUUUGUUGGUUUCUAGGAUUGACGUAAUGAUUAAUAGGGAUAGUUGGGGGCAUUAGUAUUCAAUUGUCAGAGGUGAAAUUCUUGGAUUUAUUGAAGACUAACUACUGCGAAAGCAUUUGCCAAGGAUGUUUUCAUUAAUCAAGAACGAAAGUUAGGGGAUCGAAGACGAUCAGAUGCCGUCGUAGUCUUAACCAUAAACUAUGCCGACUAGGGAUCGGAUGAUGUUAUUUUUAAUGACUCAUUCGGCGCCUUACGGGAAAC
rnacentral:rRNA from 1 species